AUUGAACGCUGGCGGCGUGCCUAACACAUGCAAGUCGAGCGGUAACAGGUGUAGCAAUACAUGCUGACGAGCGGCGGACGGGUGAGUAACGCUUGGGAAUCUGCCUAUUAGUGGGGGACAACCCGGGGAAACUCGGGCUAAUACCGCAUACGCUCUACGGAGGAAAGCCGGGGACCGCAAGGCCUGGCGCUAAUAGAUGAGCCCAAGUCGGAUUAGCUAGUUGGUAGGGGUAAUGGCCUACCAAGGCGACGAUCCGUAACUGGUCUGAGAGGACGACCAGUCACACCGGAACUGAGACACGGUCCGGACUCCUACGGGAGGCAGCAGUGGGGAAUAUUGGACAAUGGGCGAAAGCCUGAUCCAGCGACGCCGCGUGGGUGAAGAAGGCCUGCGGGUUGUAAAGCCCUUUCAGUGGGGAAGAAAAGCCUCGACCUAACACGUCGGGGUCUUGACGUAACCCAUAGAAGAAGCACCGGCUAACUCUGUGCCAGCCGCCGCCGUAA
rnacentral:rRNA from 1 species